rnacentral:rRNA from 1 species
CAGCCGCCGCGGGAAUACGGAGGGUGCAAGCGUUAAUCGGAAUUACUGGGCGUAAAGCGCACGCAGGCGGUCUGACAAGUCAGAUGUGAAAUCCCCGGGCUUAACCUGGGAACUGCAUUUGAAACUGUCUGGCUGGAGUCUUGUAGAGGGGGGUGGAAUUCCAGGUGUAGCGGUGAAAUGCGUAGAGAUCUGGAGGAAUACCGGUGGCGAAGGCGGCCCCCUGGACAAAGACUGACGCUCAGGUGCGAAAGCGUGGGGAGCAAACAGGAUUAGAUACCCGCGUAGUCCCUGUCUCUUAUAC